rnacentral:rRNA from 1 species
GGGCUGCAGUAUAUUGACUGUACAAAGGUAGCAUAAUCAUUAGUCAUUUAAUUGAUGACUUGUAUGAAAGAUUGGAUGAAAUAUAAGCUGUCUCUUUAUUAUUUUAUAGAAUUUAAUUUUUUAAUUAAAAAGUUAAAAUAAAUUAAAAAGACGAGAAGACCCUAUAGAGUUUUAUAUUUAAAAUAAUUGAGAUUAUUUAUAAAUUUUUUAAUUAAAAUUAUUUUAAUUAUUUUGUUGGGGUGACAAAAAAAUAUGAAAAACUUUUUUUAUUAUUUAACAUAGAUAAGUGAGUAUAUGAUCCAAUAUUAUUGAUUAUAAGAAAAAAUUACCUUAGGGAUAACAGCGUAAUUUUUUUUUUUAGUUCGAAUAAAAAAAAGAGUUUGCGACCUCGAUGUUGGAUUAAGAUAAAAUUUAAAUG